rnacentral:rRNA from 1 species
ACGCUCGACACCUACGGGGGCAGCAGUGAGGAAUAUUGGUCAAUGGGCGCUAGCCUGAACCAGCCAAGUAGCGUGAAGGAUGAAGGCUCUAUGGGUCGUAAACUUCUUUUAUAUAAGAAUAAAGUGCAGUAUGUAUACUGUUUUGUAUGUAUUAUAUGAAUAAGGAUCGGCUAACUCCGUGUCAGCAGCCGCGGUAAUCUGAGCGGGCUGGCAAGGC